rnacentral:lncRNA from 1 species
AAAAGGUGUGAACAAAAAGAUUUAAGAAAAAAAAAAGAAAAUACAAAAUAUAUAAAAUAAAAUUUGAGAAAAAGAAGAAAAAAAUAAAAAAUGAAGAGGCAAAAAUAUGAAAUAAAAGAAAAAGAAAAAAUUUAUAGAAAAUUUUAAAACAAAGAGAAAAGUGAACAAAAAAGAAUGAUGGCAUAUAAAAAAAAAGUAAAAAAAAGAAGAAAAAUUUGGAAGGAGAAAAAGUUAAUGAAAAAAAUAUAAAAAUGCAAUAGAAAAUAACCAAGAAUGAUAAAGAAAAAAAGAUAGAAAAGUAAAAAAUUCUAAAACUUUAUAAAAAUUUAUGAAAUUAUAAAUAAAGAAAGAAAAUAAAAAAUAAAAUAAAAUAAGAAAAAAAAGUAAAGCAAAAGAAAAAAGAUAAAUAAAGCACAAAAAAAACAAAAAUACAACAAAAAAUAUAAAAAGUAAGAAAAUAAAAAAAGGACAAAAAUUGAAUAAAAAUUUCAAAAAUGAAAUGGAAUGACAAAAUGAAAAAAAAUUAGUUUAACAAAAAAUUGAAAAACAUAUAAGACCUAAAAUAUAAAAAGUCAGAGAAAAAAUUAAAAAAGAGCAAAGUUAAUGCAAAAUAAAAAAAAAAGUAUGAGAAUUUAAAAACGCAAAUAGGAAAUGAAAGGAAAUUUGUGGAAAAAAAAAAGAAAAGACAAAAGAUUUGGAAUAAAAAACAGAAAAAUAAAAAUUUUUAAAACAAUGAAAAAUUAAAACAAGUAAACACGAAAGCAUAUGUAAAAAAAGCAAAAAGAAGGAAAAUUGUGAAGGGAAAAAGUUAUUAAGAAAUUACAAAGUAGAAAAAAAUAAGAAAAUAAAAAAAAUAAAUUAAGAGAAAAAAUUAAAUAUCAAAAAAAAAUAAAAAAGACAAAAUGAAUAAUCAAAUAUAAAAUGGAAAAAACUUUUAGUUUAGAAUUUACAAAGAAAAAGAAAAAAAAAUAACAAAUAGAGGAAAAAGAUAUAAAAUAUGAAAGAUGAAAAAAAAAUAAAAGAAAGUGCACAAAAAAAGAAGUUUGAGGUUUUAAAGUUAUAAAGAAGAAAAAAAAAAAGGUGUGAACAAAAAGAUUUAAGAAAAAAAUAAAAAAUGAAAAUACAAAAUAUAUAAAAUAAAAUUUGAGAAAAAGAAGAAAAAAAAUAAAGAAUGAAGAGGCAAAAAUAUGAAAUAAAACAAAAAGAAAAAAAAUUUAUAGAAAAUUUUAAAACAAAGAAAAAACUGAACGAAAAAGAAUGAAAGCACAUAAAAAAAGUAAAAAAAGAAGAAAAAUUCGGAAGGAGAAAAAGUUAAUGAAAAAUUAUAAAAAUGCAACAGAAAAUAACCAAGAAUGAUAAAAGAAAAAAAGAUAGAAAAAUAAAAAAUUCCAAAACCUUAUAAAAAUUUAUGAAAUUAUGAAUAAAGAAAGAAAAUAAAAUAAGAAAAAAAAUUAAAGCAAAAGAAAAAAGAUAGAUAAAGCACGAAAAAAGAAAAAAAAAACAAAAAUACAACAAAAAAUUAUAAAAAGUAAGAAAAUGAAAAAGGACAAAAAUUGAAUAAAAAUUUCAAAAAUGAAAUGGAAUGACAAAAUGAAAAAAAAAUUAGUUUAAAAAAUACAAAAAAUUAAAAAACAUAUAAGACCAAACAAUCUAAAAAGUCUGACAAAAAAUUAAAAAAGAGAAAAGUUAAUGCAAAAUAAAAAAAAAAAGUAUGAGAAUUUAAAAACGCAAAUAAGAAAUGAAAGGAAAUUUGUGGAAAAAAAAAGAAAAGACAAAAGAUUUGGAAUAAAAAAGAGAAAAAUAAAAAUUUUUAAAACAACGAAAAAAUUAAAAAAAGUAAAAAUGAAAACAUAUGAAAAAAAAAAAGCAAAAAGAAGGAAAAUUGCAAAGGGAAAAAGUUAUUAAAAAUUUACAAAGUAAAAAAAAGUUAGGGAAUCAAAAAAUAUAAAAGGAAAAAAAUAAAAAUAAACAAAGUAAGAAAAUAAAAAAUUAGGGAAUCAAAAAAUAUAAAAAGACAAAAUGAAUAAAAAUUUCAAAUAUAAAAAGAAAGUGCACAAAAAAAGAAGUUUGAGGUUUUAAAAUUACAAAGAAGAAAUAAAAAAAGGUGUGAACAAAAAGAUUUAAGAAAAAAAUAACAAAUGAAAAUACAAAAAUAUAACAAAUAUUUGAGAAAAAAAUGAGAAAAGAAGAAAAAAUAAAAAAUGAAGAGGCAAAAUAUGAAAUAAAACAAAAGAAAAAAUUUAUAGAAAUUUUAAAACAAAGAAAAAAAUACAAAAAAGGACAAAAAUUGAAUAAAAAUUCAAAAAUGAAAUGGAAUGCACAUGAAAAAAAAAAAUAGUUUUAAAAAAGACAAAAAAAAAUUGAAAAACAUAUAAGUCCUAACAAAUAUAAAAGUCAGACAAAAAUUAAAAGAGAAAAGUUAAUGCAAAAUAAAAAAGUAGAGAAUUUUAAAAAAUGCAUAAUAAGAAUGAAAGGAAAUGUUGUGGAAAAAAAAAGAAGCAAGAAAAGACAAAAGAUUUGGAAUAAAAAAUAGAAAAUCAAAAUUUUAAAACAACGAAAAAUUAAAACCAGUAAAAAUGAAAGCAUUAGAAAAAAGCACAAAGAAGAAAAUUGGUGAAGAAAAAGUUAUUAAAAAAUUACAAAGUUGAAAAAAAAUAAUUAAGCGAAAAAUUAAAUAAAAUACCCAGAAAGGAAAAAUAAAAAUAAACAAAGUAAGAAAAUAAAAAUUAGCGAAGCAAAAAAAUAUAAAAAGACAAAUGAAUAAAAUUCAAAUAUAAAAUGGAAAAAACUUUUAGUUUAGAAUGUAGAAAGAAAAACAAAAAAAAAAAAAACAAAUAGAGGAAAAAGAUAUAAAUAUGAAAGAUGAAAAAUAAAAUAAAAGAAAGUGCACAAAAAAAGAAGUUUGAGGUUUUAAAAUUAUAAAGAAGAAAUAAAAAAGGUGCGAACAAAAAGAUUUAAGAAAAAAUAAAAAUGAAAAUGCAAAAUAUAUAAAAUAAAAAUUGAGAAAAGAAGAAAAAAUAAAAAAUGAAGAGGCAAAAAUAUGAAAAAAAAUAAAAAGAAAAAAUUUAUAGAAAAUUUUAAAACAAGAAAAAAGUGAACAAAAAAAAAUGAAAGCACAUAAAAAAAAGUAAAAAAAAGAAGAAAAAUUCGGAAGGAGAAAAAGUUAAUGAAAAAUUAUAAAAAUGCAACAGAAAAUAACCAAGAAUGAUAAAAGAAAAAAAGAUAGAAAAAUAAAAAAUUCCAAAACUUUAUAAAAAUUUAUGAAAUUAUAAAUAAAGAAAGAAAAUAAAACACGAAAAAAAAUUAAAGCAAAAGAAAAAAGAUAAAUAAAGCACAAAAAAAAAAAACAAAAAUACAACAAAAAUAUAAAAAGUAAGAAAAUGAAAAAGGACAAAAAUUGAAUAAAAAUUUCAAAAAUGAAAUGGAAUGACAAAAUGAAAAAAAUUAGUUUAAAAAAUACAAAAAAUUGAAAAACAUAUAAGUUCUAACAAUAUAAAAAGUUUGGGAAUUUAAAAACACAAAUAAGAAAUGAAAGGAAAUUUAUGGAAAAAAAAAAAGAAAAGACAAAAGAUUUGGAAUAAAAAAUAGAAAAAUAAAAUUUUUAAAACGACGAAAAAUUAAAAUAAGAAAAAAAAAUUAAAGCAAAAGAAAAAAGAAAAAAAAAACAAAAAUACAACAAAAAAUUAUAAAAGGUAAGAAAAUGAAAGAGGACAGAAAAUGAAUAAAAAUUUCAAAAAUGAAAUGGAAUGACAAAAUGAAAAUAAAAUUAGUUUAAAAAAAAAAAAAAAUUGAAAAACAUAUAAGACCUAACAAUAUAAAAAGUCAGACAAAAAAUAAAAAAAGAGAAAAGUUAAUGCAAAAUAAAAAAAAGUAUGAGAAUUUAAAAGCGCAAAUAAGAAAUGAAAGGAAAUUUGAGGAAAAAAAGAGACAAAAGAUUUGGAAUAAAAAAUAGAAAAAUAGAAAAUUUUAAAACAACAAAAAAAAUUAAAACAAGUAAAAAUGAAAGCAUAUGAAAAAAAAAAGCAAAAAGAAGGCAAAUUAUGAAGGGAAAAAGUUAUUAAAAAAUUACAAAGUAGAAAAAAAAGAAAAUAAAAAAAUAAAUUAAGAGAAAAAAUUAAAUAAAAUACCAAAAAAGGAAAAAAUAAAAAUAAACAAAUUAAGAAAAUAAAAAAUUAGCGAAUCAAAAAAUAUAAAAAGACAAAAUGAAUAAAAAUUUCAAAUAUAAAAUGAAAAAAACUAUUGGUUCAGAAUGUACAAAGAAAAAUAAAAAAAAUAUAACAAGCAGAGGAAAAAGAUAUAAAAUAUGAAAGAUGAAAAAUAAAAUAAAAGAAAGUGCACAAAAAAAGAAGUUUGAGGUUUUAAAACUAUAAAGAAGAAAUAAAAAAAGGUGUGAACAAAAAGAUUUAAGAAAAAAAAAAGAAAAUACAAAAUAUAUAAAAUAAAAUUUGAGAAAAAGAAGAAAAAAAUAAAAAAUGAAGAGGCAAAAAUAUGAAAUAAAAGAAAAAGAAAAAAUUUAUAGAAAAUUUUAAAACAAAGAGAAAAGUGAACAAAAAAGAAUGAUGGCAUAUAAAAAAAAAGUAAAAAAAAGAAGAAAAAUUUGGAAGGAGAAAAAGUUAAUGAAAAAAAUAUAAAAAUGCAAUAGAAAAUAACCAAGAAUGAUAAAAGAAAAAAAGAUAGAAAAGUAAAAAAUUCUAAAACUUUAUAAAAAUUUAUGAAAUUAUAAAUAAAGAAAGAAAAUAAAAAAUAAAAUAAAAUAAGAAAAAAAAGUAAAGCAAAAGAAAAAAGAUAAAUAAAGCACAAAAAAACAAAAAUACAACAAAAAAUAUAAAAAGUAAGAAAAUAAAAAAAGGACAAAAAUUGAAUAAAAAUUUCAAAAAUGAAAUGGAAUGACAAAAUGAAAAAAAAAUUAGUUUAACAAAAAAUUGAAAAACAUAUAAGACCUAAUAAUAUAAAAAGUCAGAGAAAAAAUUAAAAAAGAGCAAAGUUAAUGCAAAAUAAAAAAAAAAAGUAUGAGAAUUUAAAAACGCAAAUAGGAAAUGAAAGGAAAUUUGUGGAAAAAAAAAAGAAAAGACAAAAGAUUUGGAAUAAAAAACAGAAAAAUAAAAAUUUUUAAAACAAUGAAAAAUUAAAACAAGUAAACACGAAAGCAUAUGUAAAAAAAGCAAAAAGAAGGAAAAUUGUGAAGGGAAAAAGUUAUUAAGAAAUUACAAAGUAGAAAAAAAUAAGAAAAUAAAAAAAAUAAAUUAAGAGAAAAAAUUAACGAAUCAAAAAAAUAUAAAAAGACAAAAUGAAUAAUCAAAUAUAAAAUGGAAAAAACUUUUAGUUUAGAAUUUACAAAGAAAAAGAAAAAAAAAUAACAAAUAGAGGAAAAAGAUAUAAAAUAUGAAAGAUGAAAAAAAAAUAAAAGAAAGUGCACAAAAAAAGAAGUUUGAGGUUUUAAAGUUAUAAAGAAAAAAAAAAAAAGGUGUGAACAAAAAGAUUUAAGAAAAAAAUAAAAAAUGAAAAUACAAAAUAUAUAAAAUAAAAUUUGAGAAAAAGAAGAAAAAAAAUAAAGAAUGAAGAGGCAAAAAUAUGAAAUAAAACAAAAAGAAAAAAAAUUUAUAGAAAAUUUUAAAACAAAGAAAAAACUGAACGAAAAAGAAUGAAAGCACAUAAAAAAAAGUAAAAAAAAAGAAGAAAAAUUCGGAAGGAGAAAAAGUUAAUGAAAAAUUAUAAAAAUGCAACAGAAAAUAACCAAGAAUGAUAAGAAAAAAAAGAUAGAAAAAUAAAAAAUUCCAAAACCUUAUAAAAUUUAUGAAAUUAUGAAUAAAGAAAGAAAAUAAAAUAAGAAAAAAAUUAAAGCAAAAGAAAAAGAUAGAUAAAGCAGAAAAAGAAAAAAAAAAACAAAAAAUAACAACAAAAAAUUAAAAAAAGUAAAAAUGAAAAAGACAAAAAUGAAUAAAAAUUUCAAAAUGAAAUUGAAUGACAAAAUGAAAAAAAAAUUGAGUUUAAAAAAAAUCAAAAAAAUUAAAAAACAUAUUAAGACAAAACCAAUCUAAAAAGUCUACAAAAAUUAAAAAAGAGAAGUUAAUGCAAAAUAAAAAAAAAAAGUAUGGGAAUUUAAAAACGCAAAUAAGAAAUGAAAGGAAAUUUGUGGAAAAAAAAAAAGAAAAGACAAAAGAUUUGGAAUAAAAAAGAGAAAAAUAAAAAUUUUUAAAACAACGAAAAAUUAAAAAAAAGUAAAAAUGAAACAUAUGAAAAAAAAAAAGCAAAAAGAAGGAAAAUUGCAAAGGGAAAAAGUUAUUAAAAAUUUACAAGUAAAAAAAAAGUUAGGGAAUCAAAAAAUAUAAAAGGAAAAAAAUAAAAAUAAACAAAGUAAGAAAAUAAAAAUUAGGGAAUCAAAAAAAUAUAAAAAGACAAAAUGAAUAAAAAUUUCAAAUAUAAAAAGAAAGUGCACAAAAAAAGAAGUUUAGUUUUUAAAAAUUACAAAGAAGAAAUAAAAAAAGGUUGUGAACAAAGAUUUAAGAAAAAAAAUAACAAAUGAAAAUACAAAAUAUAUAAAAAAUAUUGAGAAAAAAUAGAAAAAGAAGAAAAAAAUAAAAAAUGAAGAGGCAAAAAUAUGAAAUAAAACAAAAAGAAAAAAAAUAGAAAUUUUAAACAAAGAAAAAAAAUACAAAAAAAGGACAAAAAUUGAAUAAAAAUUUCAAAAAUGAAAUGGAAUGACAAAAUGAAAAAAAAAAGUUUAAAAACAAAAAAAAUUGAAAAACAUAUAAGUCCUAACAAUAUAAAAAGUCAGACAAAAAAUUAAAAAAGAAAAAGUUAAUGCAAAAUAAAAAAAAGUAUGAGAAUUUAAAAAUGCAAAUAAGAAAUGAAAGGAAAUGUGUGGAAAAAAAAGAGAAGCAAGAAAAGACAAAAGAUUUGGAAUAAAAAAUAGAAAAAUAAAAAUUUUUAAAACAACGAAAAAAUUAAAACCAGUAAAAAUGAAAGCAUAUGAAAAAAAAGCAAAAAGAAGGAAAAUUGUGAAGGGAAAAAGUUAUUAAAAAAUUACAAAGUUGAAAAAAAAUAAAUUAAGCGAAAAAAUUAAAUAAAAUACCCAGAAAGGAAAAAUAAAAAUAAACAAAGUAAGAAAAUAAAAAAUUAGCGAAGCAAAAAAAUAUAAAAAGACAAAUGAAUAAAAAUUUCAAAUAUAAAAUGGAAAAAACUUUUAGUUUAGAAUGUAGAAAGAAAAACAAAAAAAAAAAAAACAAAUAGAGGAAAAAGAUAUAAAUAUGAAAGAUGAAAAAUAAAAUAAAAGAAAGUGCACAAAAAAAAGUUUGAGGUUUUAAAAUUAUAAAGAAGAAAUAAAAAAAGGUGCGAACAAAAAGAUUUAAGAAAAAAAUAAAAAAUGAAAAUGCAAAAUAUAUAAAAUAAAAUUGAGAAAAAGAAGAAAAAAAUAAAAAUGAAGAGGCAAAAAUAUGAAAAAAAAUAAAAAGAAAAAAAUUUAUAGAAAAUUUUAAAACAAAGAAAAAAGUGAACAAAAAAAAAUGAAAGCACAUAAAAAAAAAGUAAAAAAAGAAGAAGAAAAAUUCGAAGGAGAAAAAGUUAAUGAAAAAUUAUAAAAAUGCAACAGAAAAUAACCAAGAAUGAUAAAAGAAAAAAGAUAGAAAAAUAAAAAAUUCCAAAACUUUAUAAAAAUUUAUGAAAUUAUAAAUAAAGAAAGAAAAUAAAACACGAAAAAAAUUAAAGCAAAAGAAAAAAGAUAAAUAAAGCACAAAAAAAAAAAACAAAAAUACAACAAAAAUAUAAAAAGUAAGAAAAUGAAAAAGGACAAAAAUUGAAUAAAAAUUUCAAAAAUGAAAUGGAAUGACAAAAUGAAAAAAAUUAGUUUAAAAAAUACAAAAAAUUGAAAAACAUAUAAGUUCUAACAAUAUAAAAAGUUUGGAAUUUAAAAACACAAAUAAGAAAUGAAAGGAAAUUUAUGGAAAAAAAAAAAAGAACAAAAGAUUUGGAAUAAAAAAUAGAAAAAUAAAAUUUUUAAAACGACGAAAAAUUAAAAUAAGAAAAAAAUUAAAGCAAAAGAAAAUAAAGCAUGAAAAAAAAAACAAAAAUACAACAAAAAAUUAUAAAAGGUAAGAAAAUGAAAGAGGACAAAAAUGAAUAAAAAUUUCAAAAAUGAAAUGGAAUGACAAAAUGAAAAUAAAAUUAGUUUAAAAAAUAAAAAAAAAUUGAAAAACAUAUAAGACCUAACAAUAUAAAAAGUCAGACAAAAAAUUAAAAAAGAGAAAAGUUAAUGCAAAAUAAAAAAAAAGUAUGAGAAUUUAAAAGCGCAAAUAAGAAAUGAAAGGAAAUUUGAGGAAAAAAAGAGACAAAAGAUUUGGAAUAAAAAAUAGAAAAAUAGAAAAUUUUAAAACAACAAAAAAAAUUAAAACAAGUAAAAAUGAAAGCAUAUGAAAAAAAAAAGCAAAAAGAAGGCAAAUUAUGAAGGGAAAAAGUUAUUAAAAAAUUACAAAGUAGAAAAAAAGAAAAUAAAAAAUAAAUUAAGAGAAAAAAUUAAAUAAAAUACCAAAAAGGAAAAAAUAAAAAUAAACAAAUUAAGAAAAUAAAAAAUUAGCGAAUCAAAAAAUAUAAAAAGACAAAAUGAAUAAAAAUUUCAAAUAUAAAAUGAAAAAAACUAUUGGUUCAGAAUGUACAAAGAAAAAUAAAAAAAUAUAACAAGCAGAGGAAAAAGAUAUAAAAUAUGAAAGAUGAAAAAUAAAAUAAAAGAAAGUGCACAAAAAAAGAAGUUUGAGGUUUUAAAACUAUAAAGAAGAAAUAAAAAAAGGUGUGAACAAAAAGAUUUAAGAAAAAAAAAAGAAAAUACAAAAUAUAUAAAAUAAAAUUUGAGAAAAAGAAGAAAAAAAAAAAAUGAAGAGGCAAAAAUAUGAAAUAAAAGAAAAAGAAAAAAUUUAUAGAAAAUUUUAAAACAAAGAAAAGUGAACAAAAAAGAAUGAUGGCAUAUAAAAAAAAAGUAAAAAAAAGAAGAAAAAUUUGGAAGGAGAAAAAGUUAAUGAAAAAAAUAUAAAAAUGCAAUAGAAAAUAACCAAGAAUGAUAAAAGAAAAAAGAUAGAAAAGUAAAAAAUUCUAAAACUUUAUAAAAAUUUAUGAAAUUAUAAUAAAGAAAGAAAAUAAAAAUAAAAUAAAAUAAGAAAAAAAGUAAAGCAAAAGAAAAAGAUAAAAAAGCACAAAAAAAAACAAAAAAAAAAACAAAAAAUAUAAAAAGUAAGAAAAUAAAAAAGGACAAAAAUUGAAUAAAAAUUUCAAAAAUGAAAUGGAAUGACAAAAUGAAAAAAAAAUUAGUUUAACAAAAAAUUGAAAAACAUAUAAGACCUAAAAUAUAAAAAGUCAGAGAAAAAAUUAAAAAAGAGCAAAGUUAAUGCAAAAUAAAAAAAAAGUAUGAGAAUUUAAAAACGCAAAUAGAAAUGAAAGGAAAUUUGUGGAAAAAAAAAAAAGAAAAGACAAAAGAUUUGGAAUAAAAAACAGAAAAAUAAAAAUUUUUAAAACAAUGAAAAAUUAAAAAGUAAAACGAAAGCAUAUGUAAAAAAAGCAAAAAGAAGGAAAAUUGUGAAGGGAAAAAGUUAUUAAGAAAUUACAAAGUAGAAAAAAUAAGAAAAUAAAAAAAUUAAAUUAAGAGAAAAAUUAAAUAAAAUACCAAAAAGGAAAAAUAAAAAAUUAACGAAUCAAAAAAAUAUAAAAAGACAAAAUGAAUAAUAAAUAUAAAUGGAAAAACUUUUAGUUUAGAAUUUACAAGAAAAAGAAAAAAAAUAACAAUAGAGGAAAAAGAUUAUAAAAUAUGAAAGAUGAAAAUAAAAUAAAAGAAAGUGCACAAAAAAAGAAGUUUGAGGUUUUAAAGUUAUAAAGAAGAAAAAAAAAAGGUGUGAACAAAAAGAUUUAAGAAAAAAAUAAAAAAAUGAAAAUACAAAUAUUAUAAAAUAAAAUUUGAGAAAAAGAAGAAAAAAAAUAAAGAAUGAAGAGGCAAAAAUAUGAAAUAAAACAAAAAGAAAAAAAAUUUAUUAGAAAAUUUUAAAACAAAGAAAAACUGAACGAAAAAGAAUGAAAGCACAUAAAAAAAAGUAAAAAAAAGAAGAAAUUCGGAAGGAGAAAAAGUCAAUGAAAAAUUAUAAAAAUGCAACAGAAAAUAACCAAGAAUGAUAAAAGAAAAAAAGAUAGAAAAAUAAAAAAUUCCAAAACUUUAUAAAAAUUUAAUGAAAUUAUAAUAAAGAAAGAAAAAAUAAACACGAAAAAAAAUUAAAGCAAAAGAAAAGAUAAAUAAAGCACAAAAAAAAACAAAAAUACAACAAAAAUAUAAAAAGUAAGAAAUGAAAAAGGACAAAAAUUGAAUAAAAAUUUAAAAAAUGAAAUGGAAUGACAAAAUGAAAAAAUUAGUUUAAAAAAUACAAAAAAUUUGAAAAACAUAUAAGUUCUAACAAUAUAAAAAGUUUGGGAAUUUAAAAACACAAAUAAGAAAUGAAAGGAAAUUUAUGGAAAAAAAAAGAAAAGACAAAGAUUUGGAAUAAAAAUAAAAAAUAAAAUUUUUAAAACGACGAAAAUAAAAAUAAGAAAAAAAUUAAAGCAAAAGAAAAAGAUAAAUAAGCAUGAAAAAAGAAAAAAAAAACAAAAUACAACAAAAAAUUAUAAAAGGUAAGAAAAUGAAAAGGACAGAAAAUGAAUAAAAAUUUCAAAAAUAAAAAGACAAAAUGAAUAAAAUUAGUUUAAAAAUAAAAAAAAAAUUGAAAAACAUAUAAGACCUAAAAUAUAAAAGUCAGACAAAAAAUAAAAAAAGAAAAGUUAAUGCAAAAUAAAAAAAGUAUGAGAAUUUAAAAGCGCAAAUAAAAAAUGAAAGGAAAUUUGAGGAAAAAAAGAGACAAAAGAUUGAAUAAAAAAUAGAAAAAAUAGAAAAUUUUAAAACAACAAAAAAAAUUAAAACAAGUAAAAAUGAAAGCAUAUGAAAAAAAAGCAAAAAGAAGGCAAAUUAUGAAGGGAAAAAGUUAUUAAAAAAUUACAAAGUAGAAAAAAAGAAAAUAAAAAAAUAAAUUAAGAGAAAAAAUUAAAUAAAAUACCAAAAAAGGAAAAAAUAAAAAUAAACAAAGUAAGAAAAUAAAAAAUUAGCGAAUCAAAAAAUAUAAAAAGACAAAAUGAAUAAAAAUUUCAAAUAUAAAAUGAAAAAACUAUUGGUUCAGAAUGUACAAAGAAAAAUAAAAAAAAUAUAACAAGCAGAGGAAAAAGAUAUAAAAUAUGAAAGAUGAAAAAUAAAAUAAAAGAAAGUGCACAAAAAAAGAAGUUUGAGGUUUUAAAACUAUAAAGAAGAAAUAAAAAAAGGUGUGAACAAAAAGAUUUAAGAAAAAAAAAGAAAAUACAAAAUAUAUAAAAUAAAAUUUGAGAAAAAGAAGAAAAAAAUAAAAAAUGAAGAGGCAAAAAUAUGAAAUAAAAGAAAAAGAAAAAUUUAUAGAAAAUUUUAAAACAAAGAGAAAAGUGAACAAAAAAGAAUGAUGGCAUAUAAAAAAAAAGUAAAAAAAAGAAGAAAAAUUUGGAAGGAGAAAAAGUUAAUGAAAAAAAUAUAAAAAUGCAAUAGAAAAUAACCAAGAAUGAUAAAAGAAAAAAAGAUAGAAAAGUAAAAAAUUCUAAAAACUUUAUAAAAAUUUAUGAAAUUAUAAAUAAAGAAAAAGAAAAUAAAAAAUAAAAAAAUAAGAAAAAAAAGUAAAGCAAAGAAAAAAGAUAAAUAAAGCACAAAAAAAAAAAAAAUAAACAAAAAAUAUAAAAAGUAAGAAAAUAAAAAAAGGACAAAAAUUGAAUAAAAAUUUCAAAAAUGAAAUGGAAUGACAAAAUGAAAAAAAAAUUAGUUUAACAAAAAAUUGAAAAACAUAUAAGACCUAAUAACAUAUAAAAAGUCAGACAAAAAAUUAAAAAAGAGAAAAGUUAAUGCAAAAUAAAAAAAAAAGUAUGAGAAUUUAAAAACGCAAAUAAGAAAUGAAAGGAAAUUUGUGGAAAAAAAAAAAAGAAAAGACAAAAGAUUUGGAAUAAAAAACAGAAAAAUAAAAAUUUUAAAACAACGAAAAAAUUAAAACAAGUAAAAUGAAAGCAUAUGAAAAAAAAGCAAAAAGAAGGAAAAUUGUGAAGGGAAAAAGUUAUUAAAAAAUUACAAAGUAGAAAAAAAAAAAAGAAAAAAAAUAAAUUAAGAGAAAAAAUUAAAUAAAAUACCAAAAAAGGAAAAAAUAAAAAAUUAGCGAAUCAAAAAAAUAUAAAAAGACAAAAUGAAUAAAACUUCAAAUAUAAAAUGGAAAAAACUUUUAGUUUAGAAUGUACAAAGAAAAAAAAAAAAAAACAAAUAGAGGAAAAAGAUAUAAAAUAUGAAAGAUGAAAAAUAAAAUAAAAGAAAGUGCACAAAAAAAGAAGUUUGAGGUUUUAAAAUUAUAAAGAAGAAAUAAAAAAAGGUGUGAACAAAAAGAUUUAAGAAAAAAAUAAAAAUGAAAAUACAAAAUAUAUAAAAUAAAAUUUGAGAAAAAGAAGAAAAAAAAUAAAAAAUGAAGAGGCAAAAAUAUGAAAUAAAACAAAAAGAAAAAAAAUUUAUAGAAAAUUUUAAAACAAAGAAAAAACUGAACGAAAAAGAAUGAAAGCACAUAAAAAAAAGUAAAAAAAGAAGAAAAAUUCGGAAGGAGAAAAAGUUAAUGAAAAAUUAUAAAAAUGCAACAGAAAAUAACCAAGAAUGAUAAAAGAAAAAAGAUAGAAAAAUAAAAAAUUCCAAAACUUUAUAAAAAUUUAUGAAAUUAUAAAUAAAGAAAGAAAAUAAAAUACGAAAAAAAAUUAAAGCAAAAGAAAAAAGAUAAUAAAGCACAAAAAAAAAAAAACAAAAAUACAACAAAAAAUAUAAAAAGUAAGAAAAUGAAAAAGGACAAAAAUUGAAUAAAAAUUUCAAAAAAUGAAAUGGAAUGACAAAUGAAAAAAUUAGUUUAAAAAAUACAAAAAAUUGAAAAACAUAUAAGUUCUAACAAUAUAAAAAGUUUGGGAAUUUAAAAACACAAAUAAGAAAUGAAAGGAAAUUUAUGGAAAAAAAAAAAGAAAAGACAAAAGAUUUGGAAUAAAAAAUAGAAAAAUAAAAUUUUUAAAACGACGAAAAAUUAAAAUAAGAAAAAAAAUUAAAGCAAAAGAAAAAAAGAUAAAUAAAGCAUGAAAAAAGAAAAAAAAACAAAUACAACAAAAAAUUAUAAAAGGUAAGAAAAUGAAAGAGGACAGAAAAUGAAUAAAAAUUUCAAAAAUGAAAUGGAAUGACAAAAUGAAAAUAAAAUUAGUUUAAAAAAUAAAAAAAAAUUGAAAAACAUAUAAGACCUAACAAUAUAAAAAGUCAGACAAAAAAUAAAAAAGAGAAAAGUUAAUGCAAAAUAAAAAAAAGUAUGAGAAUUUAAAAGCGCAAAUAAGAAAUGAAAGGAAAUUUGAGGAAAAAAAGAGACAAAAGAUUUGGAAAAAAAUAGAAAAAUAGAAAAUUUUAAAACAACAAAAAAAAUUAAAACAAGUAAAAAUGAAAGCAUAUGAAAAAAAAAAAGCAAAAAGAAGGCAAAUUAUGAAGGGAAAAAGUUAUUAAAAAAUUACAAAGUAGAAAAAAAAGAAAAUAAAAAAUAAAUUAAGAGAAAAAAUAAUAAAAUAAAAAAGGAAAAUAAAAAUAAACAAUUAAGAAAUAAAUUACGAUCAAAAAUAUUAAAACAAAAUGAUAUAAUUUCAAAUAUAUAAUGAAAAAUAUUUUCAGAAUGUUCAAAGAAAUAAAAAAAAUAUACAGCAGAGGGAUAUAAAUAUGAAAGAUGAAAAUUAAUUAAAAGAAAGGCACAAAAAGAGUUUGAGGUUUUAAACUAUUUAGAAGAAUAAAAAGGUGUGAACAAACUUUUUAGAAAAAAAAAAUAAAAUUCAAUAUAUUAAAUAAAAUUUGAGAAAAGAAGAAAAAAUAAAAAUGAGAGGCAAAAUAGAUAUAAAAGAAAGAAAAAUUUAUAAAAUUUUAAACAAAGAAAGUGAACAAAAGAUGAUGCUUUUAAAAAAUUUUAAAAAAAGAGAAAAAUUUAGUGAGAAAAAGUUAAUGAAAAAAUAUAAAAAUGCAAUAGAAAAUAACCAAGAAUGAUAAAAGAAAAAAAGAUAGAAAAGUAAAAAAUUCUAAAACUUUAUAAAAAUUUAUGAAAUUAUAAAUAAAGAAAGAAAAAAAAAUAAAAUAAAAUAAGAAAAAAAGUAAAGCAAAAGAAAAAAGAUAAAUAAAGCACAAAAAAAACAAAAAUACAACAAAAAAAUAAAAAGUAAGAAAAUAAAAAAAGGACAAAAAUUGAAUAAAAAUUUCAAAAAUGAAAUGGAAUGACAAAAUGAAAAAAAAAUUAGUUUAACAAAAAAUUGAAAAACAUAUAAGACCUAAUAAUAUAAAAAGUCAGAGAAAAAAUUAAAAAAGAGCAAAGUUAAUGCAAAAUAAAAAAAAAGUAUGAGAAUUUAAAAACGCAAAUAAGAAAUGAAAGGAAAUUUGUGGAAAAAAAAAAAGAAAAGACAAAAGAUUUGGAAUAAAAAACAGAAAAAUAAAAAUUUUUAAAACAAUGAAAAAUUAAAACAAGUAAACACGAAAGCAUAUGUAAAAAAAGCAAAAAGAAGGAAAAUUGUGAAGGGAAAAAGUUAUUAAAAAUUACAAAGUAGAAAAAAAUAAGAAAAUAAAAAAAAUAAAUUAAGAGAAAAAAUUAAAUAAAUACCAAAAAGGAAAAAAUAAAAAAUUAGCGAAUCAAAAAAAUAUAAAAAGACAAAAUGAAUAAUCAAAUAUAAAAUGGAAAAAACUUUUAGUUUAGAAUUUACAAAGAAAAAGAAAAAAAAAUAACAAAUAGAGGAAAAAGAUAUAAAAUAUGAAAGAUGAAAAAAAAAUAAAAGAAAGUGCACAAAAAAAGAAGUUUGAGGUUUUAAAGUUAUAAAGAAGAAAAAAAAAAAAGGUGUGAACAAAAAGAUUUAAGAAAAAAAUAAAAAAUGAAAAUACAAAAUAUAUAAAAUAAAAUUUGAGAAAAAGAAGAAAAAAAAUAAAGAAUGAAGAGGCAAAAAUAUGAAAUAAAACAAAAAGAAAAAAAAAAUUAUAGAAAAUUUUAAAACAAAGAAAAAACUGAACGAAAAAGAAUGAAAGCACAUAAAAAAAAAGAAGUAAAAAAAAGAAGAAAAAUUAUAAAAAUGCAACAGAAAAUAACCAAGAAUGAUAAAAGAAAAAAAGAUAGAAAAAAAAAAUUCCAAAACUUUAUAAAAAUUUAUGAAAUUAUGAAUAAAGAAAGAAAAUAAAAUAAGAAAAAAAUUAAAGCAAAAGAAAAA